GACGAACGCUGGCGGCGUGCUUAACACAUGCAAGUCGAACGGAAAGGCCCUGCUUUUGUGGGGUGCUCGAGUGGCGAACGGGUGAGUAACACGUGAGUAACCUGCCCUUGACUUUGGGAUAACUUCAGGAAACUGGGGCUAAUACCGGAUAGGAGCUCCUGCUGCAUGGUGGGGGUUGGAAAGUUUCGGCGGUUGGGGUUGGACUCGCGGCUUAUCAGCUUGUUGGUGGGGUAGUGGCUUACCAAGGCUUUGACGGGUAGCCGGCCUGAGAGGGUGACCGGCCACAUUGGGACUGAGAUACGGCCCAGACUCCUACGGGGGGCAGCAGGGGGGAAUAUUGCACAAUGGGCGGAAGCCUGAUGCAGCAACGCCGCGUGCGGGAUGACGGCCUUCGGGUUGUAAACCGCUUUCGCCUGUGACGAAGCGUGAGUGACGGUAAUGGGUAAAGAAGCACCGGCUAACUACGUG
rnacentral:rRNA from 1 species